AUUGAACGCUGGCGGCAUGCCUUACACAUGCAAGUCGAACGGUAACAGGUCUUCGGAUGCUGACGAGUGGCGAACGGGUGAGUAAUACAUCGGAACGUGCCUAGUAGUGGGGGAUAACUACUCGAAAGAGUGGCUAAUACCGCAUGAGAUCUACGGAUGAAAGCAGGGGAUCGCAAGACCUUGUGCUACUAGAGCGGCCGAUGGCAGAUUAGGUAGUUGGUGGGAUAAAAGCUUACCAAGCCGACGAUCUGUAGCUGGUCUGAGAGGACGAUCAGCCACACUGGGACUGAGACACGGCCCAGACUCCUACGGGAGGCAGCAGUGGGGAAUUUUGGACAAUGGGCGAAAGCCUGGUCCAGCAAUGCCGCGUGAAGGAUGAAGGCCUUCGGGUUGUAAACUGCUUUUGUACGGAACGAAAAGCCCUGGGUUAAUACCCUGGGGUCAUGACGGUACCGUAAGAAUAAGCACCGGCUAACUACGUGCCAGCCGCCGCAGUAAGAC
rnacentral:rRNA from 1 species